GUGGGGAAUCUUGCGCAAUGGGCGAAAGCCUGACGCAGCCAUGCCGCGUGAAUGAUGAAGGUCUUAGGAUUGUAAAAUUCUUUCACCGGGGACGAUAAUGACGGUACCCGGAGAAGAAGCUCCGGCUAACUUCGUGCCAGCAGCCGCGGUAAUACGAAGGGGGCUAGCGUUGCUCGGAAUUACUGGGCGUAAAGGGCGCGUAGGCGGACAGCUUAGUCAGAGGUGAAAGCCCAGGGCUCAACCUUGGAAUUGCCUUUGAUACUGGCUGUCUUGAGUUUGGGAGAGGUGAGUGGAACUCCGAGUGUAGAGGUGAAAUUCGUAGAUAUUCGGAUGAACACCAGUGGCGAAGGCGACUCACUGGCCCAAUACUGACGCUGAGGCGCGAAAGCGUGGGGAGCAAACAGGAUUAGAAACCCGAGUAGUCC
rnacentral:rRNA from 1 species